UGGACCAGGUAUCGCCGUCGAGAAACUCCGUGGUCGGCGCAAACUGGAAGCCGCAAAUCGCGCAACAUUCCACAUUUUGUGCCCUAAAAUCGAAGAUCUUACCAAACGACAAAAUGAAACAGAACUCAAAAAUCCACUUCACAAUCACAGCAUCUUAAACCACAGUGACUGUUCUUGAAGACAGAAAUCAAAGAGUGAAGUGAUAAACUGUGUAAAAGCAAGUCCACGCUUGGAUUUUAUUUAUUUAUUUUUUAAUUUUUACCUUAAAAGUAGUUAAAAAAUUAAUUGGAUAAGUUAAUUGAAGUUUUUAAUCAGUUCAAACUUCAAUCCAACUAAAUGUCAAUAAAAAUCAUCUUAAAAAAUUAAUUGGAUGAACUUAUUGGGCCUGUUUUAUAGGUGUAUAGUUUAAUUUGAGCUGCAUAUUUUAUGAUUGGACAUAUAUAUGUUGUUGUGAACUCGAGUAUGGGUUUUGUACGAAACUAUGUGCCUCCAUGUUUGACAUAGGUGUAUUGAAUAUUUCUUUUGUAAUGUUUCCUUGUAAUUUGAACAUAGUUACCUUUGAUAUAUUAUAUGCAUAAGUAUGUUAGGAUAAAAAAGAGUAGUGGCAGAGACAAACUAAUAUCUUUAGUUGGCACAUUCUACAGAGUGUUCUAUGGUUGCACUCCAUCUUGGAUGUCAAGUUUAGAAACAUUUCAAGCAGUGUUAUCAAGGCGAAAGACGACACUAAGGCGGUAGAGUACUCUAUGGCUUUAGGGGUGAGGCGAGAGGCGAGGCGAGAGCCUUUUUGAAGUAAGGCGCCAUAGCCUACAAUGGAAGAAAUAAAUAUUAUUAGUAUUAUAACUUCACUUAAUUAGGCAAUGCAAAAUUGCAAAUAAAUUUCAUCACUCUUUCUAUGCAAAUAAACAUGUCAAGCUCAUUAUAUCACAAUACCCAUCUAACAGAAAAAGAAACAACAAAUUAAAAAGAGAAAAAGAAAGUGCUGCUGUCUGCUGGAUUAAAGAUGGCGUGAGAGAAUAAGAGAAGUAGAGAGGAGGAGAGAAGAGAAGAAAAAACUAAAAAGAAUGCUGUUGUAAAAGAUGGUGUGACUCAGAUGAGAGAAGAAGAGAAGGAGGAGGAGAGAAGAGAAUAACAGAAGAGGAGAGGAGAGAUAAGA
rnacentral:misc_RNA from 1 species